GCAUAACUCUAUCAUUCCAAAUCCAAAUGACAUGAAAUUGGUGACCAUUCUGAAGGUAUUUGAAAGAGAUACAACUUUGAUGAAGUCAAUUUUCUCAUUUGAAGCUCACAUAAAAUGUUAAGUAAGGUGGAAUAUUGAGAUAUAUGGCUUGACACUUAGAAAAAUGGUGAAUCAAAUUAAUAUAUGUGGAGAAGUGUUGACAUCAAG
rnacentral:lncRNA from 1 species